rnacentral:sRNA from 1 species
AUUAACAGGCAGUCGCUUAAAGUCGCCACGUCCUGUGGCAACAUCGGCACUAGUACGUCCUGUACG